AUGGCGUCGCCCUCCUCGUCGCUCUGCUCCAGCCUCGGCUACCCGCGCGCCGCCUCCCUCGGCGGCCGCCGCCGCGUCGGCUUCUCCUCGUCCAGGAAGCUAUUCCAAGUGAAGGCAUCAAGGGUCGACAGUUUCUCCAAGAGUGACAUCAUUGUGUCCCCUUCCAUUCUCUCUGCAAACUUCGCCAAGCUUGGUGAACAGGUAAAAGCUGUGGAGGUGGCAGGAUGUGACUGGAUUCAUGUUGAUGUCAUGGACGGCCGCUUUGUGCCAAAUAUCACGAUUGGACCAUUGAUUGUUGAUGCUCUGCGUCCAGUGACUGAUCUUCCACUGGAUGUGCAUCUGAUGAUUGUGGAACCUGAGCAGCGAAUUCCAGAUUUUAUCAAGGCAGGUGCUGAUAUUGUUAGCGUCCACUGUGAGCAAACGGCAACCAUCCAUCUGCACCGAACAGUUGAUCAGAUUAAAAGUCUAGGAGCAAAAGCUGGAGUUGUUUUGAACCCUGGGACCCCACUCAGUGCGAUAGAAUAUGUACUUGAAUCUGUUGAUCUGGUAUUGAUUAUGUCAGUCAAUCCUGGUUUUGGUGGGCAGAGUUUUAUUGAGAGUCAAGUAAAGAAAAUUGCCGAUUUGAGAAAAUUAUGCGAAGAGAAGGGAGUGAACCCCUGGAUCGAGGUUGAUGGCGGAGUCAGUCCCAAAAACGCCUACAAGGUCAUUGAAGCUGGAGCGAAUGCCCUUGUUGCUGGUUCUGCGGUCUUCGGAGCUAAAGACUACGCUGAAGCUAUCAAAGGAAUCAAGACCAGCAAAAGACCUGUAGCCGUAGCAGCAUGA
rnacentral:rRNA from 1 species